GGAACGAGUGGCGGACGGGUGAGUAACACGUGGGUAACCUGCCCUUAAGUGGGGGAUAACAUUUGGAAACAAUGCUAAUACCGCAUAGAUCCAAGAACCGAAUGGUUCUUGGCUGAAAGAUGGCGUAAGCUAUCGGCUUUUGGAUGGACCCGCGGCGUAUUAGCUAGUUGGUGAGGUAAUGGCUCACCAAGGCGAUGAUACGUAGCCGAACUGAGAGGUUGAUCGGCCACAUUGGGACUGAGACACGGCCCAAACUCCUACGGGAGGCAGCAGUAGGGAAUCUUCCACAAUGGACGCAAGUCUGAUGGAGCAACGCCGCGUGAGUGAAGAAGGCUUUCGGGUCGUAAAACUCUGUUGUUGGAGAAGAAUGGUCGGCAGAGUAACUGUUGUCGGCGUGACGGUAUCCAACCAGAAAGCCACGGCUAACUACGUGCCAGCAGCCGCGGUAAUACGUAGGUGGCAAGCGUUAUCCGGAUUUAUUGGGCGUAAAGCGAGCGCAGGCGGUUUUUUAAGUCUGAUGUCAAAGCCCUCA
rnacentral:rRNA from 2 species